UAAGAAAAAAUGUAAACACUUGUACC
rnacentral:piRNA from 1 species